AUGCAAAGUUGACAAAUGCCAAAACGUCGUGAAUACGAAGAUAUCAUUGAACAAACAAGGCGAGAAUUAUGGCUAACGGACCAAGGAAGAGUCCAAGUUUAGAAGAGUCAAGAACAAGACAUGGAGAUGUAUUGAAGACAUUAUUGAGUUGUUUGCAUUGUGAUCUUGAUCCGAAUAUGGAUUCAAGUCUUGGCUUCUCUCUAAAAUCAUUUUAUCAAAUCAUGCAUAUCAGAAAUAUUUUUGUUAACCAAAAUUUUGUGACCAUGUCCAAACCAAAAAUCUGA
rnacentral:lncRNA from 1 species